UCAUUAUAUCGUUUAAACAAGUGAAACAUCAGGAAAUGUCUGAUCCGAAGAGAUGGUAUUUGUAGUUAGUUUUAACGUCAUCUACCUCAGGAUUGACUUCAACCGGAGACACAGUGUUCUCCGAGAGGAGCGAAAACCUGGACCAAUCAAUCUAGAGAGGAGCAAAAGAUCUAACAUGGGUUUACUCCGGCCAUGCACGACAGCAAUUCCACCAGGCAAAGGUAUAUUUGUUUGUCCCAUUGAAGUGUCAGCCGCUUCGACACUUGGGGUGAUGUGCCAUCAUCAAGCUUUAAAUCCAUCACACCUUUUACCACAUCCUCCUCCUGUCCUUUAACCAGUUACUGCAAGCUCCUUUCCACCAGGAAAUGCCUCAACAUGAUUGAGAUGAGUCCUGCUGCAAAACCAGGAAAUGCCUCCAACAUGUCUGCUAAUAGGCAGUCAGACUCACAUCAAUUUGCAUCAAUUAUUUUAUCGUGAUAAAUAAUAAUAGUAUCACAAUCGAUCUACAUCUAAAACUAUUUAUUUUGGAUCAAUAGUUCAUAUUUAUGUGCCAAUGAGUCCACAUCCCCACCACUCUCCCUCUCACUUCUAGUUUGUGGUCCUAAGAACUCAGUGGAACCCAUCUGCAUCACUAAUAGCUACAGCCCGGCCCAGUGGCCACAUGACGGGCCCAUCACCACCCAUCAUCCCAAGGUUCAAUAUGGUCCCCUCGACACUGUAUGAGACAGUAAUAUAAUUUGAUGUAUCGAGAGUCUCUUCCAUCGAGAUCAUACUAUAGUCGUAUUGAUCCAUAUGUAUACCAAAUAAUUUUAGGCGUCAUAGACCAAUUAUUUUGAGACAUCCCAUUCGAUAAGUCAUCAUUUUCUAUCGUAACGAUGACAACAAAUGAGAUCCUCUUUACUAUGUUCAUAAUUAUGAUCAUAAAAUAAUCAAUUUAUGAAAGAACGAAGGAGGUAAGGAUAUGAUGGGGGAAGAAUAUACAGAUUAAUAUUUUGAAUCUAAAAUAAGAUUUCAAAUCCUCAAUAAACUCGUUCUAGUAAACAAGGAGGAGGUGGACAAACGAGGCAAACUUGCUUGUCCGACGAGGAGGUAAAUAGUGUAAGCUAAACUUUUUUUAUCUUUCUUCCUCUAAUCAGUGGAGAGAAUCCAAAGGCACAAGAACAAGAGAUUCCUUGCCGUAACUGGAUUGAACUGUUUCCCUGUUCAUAUCCCCACGGUAAGUUUCAAUCUUGUGUGCACAGCAAAGGCAAACAAAUAGUAGGUUAUGAAGCUUCGUCCUUGCUUCCUCUCUCUCUCUCUCUCUCUCUCUCUAGUUUUGUCAUAAAGAAUGCAUGGAAUUAGCUGGGUAAAAUAGAGGUUUAAUAUGUGGAUAUAGGUAGUUGGUAACAAGGAAUAAUUGAGGGAAGAUUUGAAUACAAUUAAGAAUAUAUUUGUUUUCUAUAUACUUAAUUUUUGGAAUGAAAGAUUAUUCAUAUCUAUCUAUCUAUCAGUAGUAAAUUGACUUGUAAAUCAUGGAAGAAUGUAGAGAUGUUGAUCAGUAAUGAUCAGAACGACAGUGAUUGUAUUAGGCUUAUAUGAAUUUUAAUACAUUAAUAAAUAAAUAAAUAAUUAGAGAGAGAAUCGUAGGGUGACAAGAUGUGUAUAGGGUUAUAUUUUGUGGGGACUGCAUGGGUGUAGGUUCUUCCCGUCACGUUCUCCUCCUCUCAUGUGAGACCCAAUUUACUUCCAGCGGUGACAAUGUGCUCUUGUCUCCCUUCCCUUCCCUUCACAUCCUCCUCUCCUUCUCUUACCUAAUCUAAAAAAAUGAGAAUUUUGUGUUAGAUUAUUUUGUCUGCACAUCAAACAAACGCUUGGAAGUAUGAAGAGAUGCCUUAUUCUAAAGGCAAAAGAUCUCCCAAAUCUACACUAAAAUUCCCCUUUGGAGGAACAGGGACCCAACUCUCCCACCAUUUCAAACUGUGUUAGCUGGAGUUGUACUCAAUGAGGUUGUGUUAGAUUCUUGUUUACCUGUGUGCCAACCUUUAAUCACUUAAUUAAUGUGAGUGGCAGAAGAGUAAGGUAUAUAAUUUACUACAACAAUAUGUUAGCUUCCUACAUGUACUGCUAAUCCUCUCUCUACCAAUCUCUUUUCUUUUCCUUCCUUGCCUUCUCUUCCCCUUUCUCUCUUCCAUCUUUAUUUUUUUUUGUAGUAUGUGUAAGUAUGUGCAUUUUGUGUAUGGUAUUAUAUAUAUCUUUGACAGCAUACUUUCUCUCUCUACCUAUCUUUCUCUCUUUCCAGUUGUACCUGCUCCCAUCUUUUUUAUUCUUUUUUUCACUCCAUGUACUGAUUUCCUUUUUUCCAAUUUUUGAUUCCUCCAAUCCCCUACACACCAUCCUCUCUUCCUCUCCUCCCACCCCACACACACACAGAGAGAGAGAGAGAGAGAGAGAGAGAAUUCCAUACCUGUUACUGGCAAGAGAACGACAGGCUGUAGCUGCCUAACACUGUAGU
rnacentral:lncRNA from 1 species